rnacentral:rRNA from 1 species
AUUGAACGCUGGCGGAAUGCUUUACACAUGCAAGUCGAACGGCAGCACGGGGCAACCUGGUGGCGAGUGGCGAACGGGUGAGUAAUACAUCGGAACGUGCCCAGUCGUGGGGGAUAACGUAGCGAAAGUUACGCUAAUACCGCAUACGAUCUAUGGAUGAAAGCGGGGGAUCGCAAGACCUCGCGCGAUUGGAGCGGCCGAUGUCAGAUUAGGUAGUUGGUGGGGUAAAGGCCUACCAAGCCGACGAUCUGUAGCUGGUCUGAGAGGACGACCAGCCACACUGGGACUGAGACACGGCCCAGACUCCUACGGGAGGCAGCAGUGGGGAAUUUUGGACAAUGGGCGCAAGCCUGAUCCAGCCAUUCCGCGUGCAGGAUGAAGGCC